GGGCGUGUGGUCUAGUGGUAUGAUUCUCGCUUUGGGGAUUUUCAUUCUUUAAAUUUGCGAGAGGCCCUGGGUUCAAUUCCCAGCUCGCCCC
rfam:Tetrapisispora blattae CBS 6284 chromosome 2, complete genome